GCGAGCCUGGCGAAAUUGGUAGACGCGCUGGAUUUAGGUUCCAGUACCCGCCGGGUGUGUCGGUUCGAGUCCGACGGCUCGCA
rnacentral:tRNA from 7 species